GAUGAACGCUGGCGGCGUGCCUAAUACAUGCAAGUCGAGCGAAGGGACGAGAAGCUCGCUGUUCUGAUGUUAGCGGCGGACGGGUGAGUAACACGUGGAUAACCUACCUAUAAGACUGGGAUAACUUCGGGAAACCGGAGCAAAUAACGGAAAAUACUUUGAACCGCAUGGUUCAAAAGUGAAAGACGGUCUUGCAGUCACUUACAGAUGGAUCCGCGCUGCAUUAGCUAGUUGGUAAGGUAACGGCUUACCAAGGCAACGAUGGAUAGCCGACCUGAGAGGGUGAUCGGCCGCCCUGGAGCUGAGCCACGGUCCAGGCUCCUACGGGAGGCAGCAGUAGGCAAUCUUCCGCAGUGGGCGGAAGCCUGACGGAGCAACGCCGCGUGUGUGAUGGCGGUCUUCGGAUCGUAAAGCUCUGUUAUUAGUGAAGAACAUAUGUGUAAGUAACUGUGCACAUCUUGACGGUACCUAAUCAGAAAGCCACGGCUAACUACGUG
rnacentral:rRNA from 1 species